AUGGGAGCGAACGCCCAUGAGGCGUCGGGCUUGGGUUCCGCGACAGAGAUAGAAAAGAUGAUGGCUGAGUUAGGUCUCAGAGAGGAGGAUCUCGAUGAUGUUGUUUUCGAUGAGAAAGCAGCGCCACCAGAGGCUACCAGGUGGAUGGCUGUGGCUAGGGUUCACAUAGAUAAACCAUACAGCCAAUAUUGGUUCUUCAGGAACAUGAGGUCAGCCUGGGACCUCACGCAUGAUGUAAAGUUCCGUCCCCUCGAUGAUAAUCUCUACAUGAUGCAAUUCUUCUGCUUGGGAGAUUGGGAACGGGUCAUGCAGGAGGGGCCAUGGAAUUUCAGAGGAAACGCAGUGGUCAUUGAGCCUUAUGAUGGAAUCACUAAGCCAACGGAGGUGAAUCUAGACCAUCUCAACAUAUGGAUUCAGAUCCAUGACGUCCCAGAUUUGUAUGCUCAUCUAGUGGGACCUCUUGCGGCUAAAGUGGGAGAGGUUUUGUUUACGGAAACAAUGACUCAGGACUUUGCGGGUAACUUCUACCGCGUCUGGGUUAGGAUCAUUGUCAACAGGCCUCUCAAGAAUGCGGUUUCCAUGAUCCGUGAUGGGCAUGUCUUCAAGGAGCAUGGUGACGGGAUUCAUCCUCCAUCAUCCCUAUACUUCAAGGAUCUGAGGGCAACAUGGAAUAUGCGAGUUGGUGCUGGCCCUGGAGCUGGCCAGGGCAAGGGGCGACAAGGAGGCCGUCGUGGUGGCCGGGGAGGACGCAGUAUGGACCCUAUGAGCAUGGGACAGAAACACUCAGAGCAAGAAUCAGAUGGUGACAUGGAUGCGGUGAUGAAAGAAGCAGAUGGGAACAGGAAGCGCAUGCUAGAUGACCUGGGUGUGAUCAGCCAAAAGACAGCCCCGCCUGCGGCCAACAGUGCCCUAGCCAUGCCACUGACGAUGGUGCCGGCAAGUCCCUCAUCCAAGCAGCAGCAGAAAAGGCUCCGAGCAAACCAAGAUAAGAACAACUUGAAGAAGAGUGGUGCCCCGGAAAAAACAAAUGACACAAAAUCGGCGACCUCCCGUAGCUGA
rnacentral:rRNA from 1 species